AACAAAACAUCGCUGUCAAAUCCAAUCCUUCAUCAAAUAAUCAAAUUUAUUUCUAUUUAAUUUCAAUUUUUUACAUACUUAAUAAUAAUAAAAUGUAGAUACUUAAACAAGUGAUCACAAAUAUUAUUGUCUUUAUACAGCUGCUACUAUGAACGUUAAGCAUUGAAACAAUUUUAAUUUAACCAUAUUACUUGUUUAAUCUAUCAAUUAUCAUUAUUGUAAAAUCUGAGAGCAAAAACAGAAAUGCAGACCGAAGACUGCAAAUUUGUCAAAUUAAUCGGACAUUUAGACGCUGUUAAGUGGUUACAAAAUCCUCGUUACUAUCGUCCCAGUCCAGGAUAUCUAUAUCUUGAAGACUGGACUAAGAAUCCUUUCACUUGGCUUCAUUACGUAGAAAGUUCAGAUGGCCUUCUGGUCGAAGAUGAGGUACUUUUAAACGCGUACUCUCGAUAUUGGUCAAUUCAUGACGUGCAACGGUAUUUCCUCGGUGACCUUCACUGUGAAAAAAUACUAUUCACUCAUCAAUAUCCAAAUUUGAAGUUGCCCAGUCGCUUGGGAAACACUUUGUGGAAAACGAACACAGCAACGAAGGUUUUGCCAAAAUUAUAUUUGAAAGAAUUUAAUCGAUCCCUGGAAGUAACUUUAAAGAAAAUGGUUUCAACUAAAGCUCAAAUGAAUAGAUUAAUUAUAUCAGACCAACUGAUCAACAUUGAUUGUCUGGAUUAUUUUAAAAGGAAAACGUUCUUUGAUUAUUUAUUGAAAAUAAUUAGUUUCCAGAACGAAUUGCAACUAGUUUCUUUUGAAAAUUUACGCUGCAAGAGACUCGAGGGUGUUCGGCUAGUCCAACAGUUAGCUUGCUUCAACGCGGAUACAUUGAAAUACUUGUUUCUAUGGAAAUUUGUAUUACCCAAUGAAAAUCCAUUGUUGAUUAAUUACUCUUAUUUAACAGGUAGUGGCCAAUAUAUUUCCAGACCUGAAACAAGACGAUGUUUUAUACAAAGUCUCGGUGUUAUGAAAGAGCUUCGGAUGUUGGCUUUGGAAUACUCUCAUAUAGCCGAUGGAACGGGAGGAGCUCUAAUAUCUUUAUUACCCGUCCUGAAAAGACCAAAUUUUCGCUUGCAGUUAAUUUGUCGUGAAAAUCACGUACCUGGACGUACGAACGCAGCUCUCGGAGUGGGCGGAUAUAAUAUUCCAGAUACGGCUUGGAGGAGAGUUUCUAUAGCCUGUCCAGAUCUUUACCUGUUCAUGGCAUUUGAUAGAAUCUGGGACAACGAUAAUGUGAGACGUUUUUUAUCUCCAAGUAUCCCGCUUUGUGAAACGCAUCUCCACAUCGGCAUUCAUGUAAAACUGGUAGAAAGGAAGGACAGCGAUCUCUCCUGUUUUGUGCGACAUUUGGCGUUUAAUUAUGCCAGUACACUAUGAUUAUUGGUGACCUAGAGGCCUUUCCAGUUUCACCAAGACAGGUGGGCGAGCAAAGGCUCAGCCAGGAUGAGUGAGAUUAACUAACAGCCGCCCGAGCACCUCCGAAGGAGACCUAGCAACUCAAGAGCAGCUGUUUCGCGAAUGAAUCUGCCACCGGAUCGGAAUCGCGACCCACUGAGAAGAUCCAUGAUACAUGCGUGCCCUUUAUCGAUUUCGAUGAGUACAGUUAACGGGAUCUCUAAGCCUGCUCUUAGCGUUAGAGCUGAAGGCGUCUAAUGCAAGAGUUAUUGGAUCUGAAUCCGUAAGGACGUGUCUAGGGCAUCGACGGUGACUGGCUCCUGCAUGAUCAGGAUUGGGGGAGUAGUCAGCGGCGGCUAUGAUAAGCUACACUGGGCAUUCAUCAGUGGCGCAGUGCAAUUUUUCCUCUACGAAGAAUAUUUGAGUUAAUGCCAAGACUAGUAAGAUUUUAUUAUUUAGGAAAUGUGGACGAAACGGAUCUUCACAAAACUCUGAAUUUAUUAGCUUGCGGAGUCUGCACCA